rnacentral:rRNA from 1 species
UAGGGAAUCUUCGGCAAUGGACGAAAGUCUGACCGAGCAACGCCGCGUGAGUGAAGAAGGUUUUCGGAUCGUAAAACUCUGUUGUUAGAGAAGAACAAGGACGUUAGUAACUGAACGUCCCCUGACGGUAUCUAACCAGAAAGCCACGGCUAACUACGUGCCAGCAGCCGCGGUAAUACGUAGGUGGCAAGCGUUGUCCGGAUUUAUUGGGCGUAAAGCGAGCGCAGGCGGUUUCUUAAGUCUGAUGUGAAAGCCCCCGGCUCAACCGGGGAGGGUCAUUGGAAACGGGGGGACUUGAGUGCAGAAGAGGAGAGUGGAAUUCCAUGUGUAGCGGUGAAAUGCGUAGAUAUAUGGAGGAACACCAGUGGCGAAGGCGGCUCUCUGGUCUGUAACUGACGCUGAGGCUCGAAAGCGUGGGGAGCAAACAGG